AGCAGUGUGGCCUAGUGAAUAGAGCACUGGACUGGGAUUCAAGAGACCUGGGUUCUAUUUCCAGCUCUACAA
rfam:Chelonia mydas contig186962, whole genome shotgun sequence.